UGAACGCUGGCGGCGUGCUUAACACAUGCAAGUCGAACGAAGCACCUCUAAUCGAAGAUUGAGAAGCUUGCUUUGAUGAUUCACCUUGAGGUGACUGAGUGGCGGACGGGUGAGUAACGCGUGGGUAACCUACCCUAGUACAGGGGGAUAACAGUUGGAAACGACUGCUAAUACCGCAUAAGCGCACAGGACCGCAUGGUCUAGUGUGAAAAAACUCCGGUGGUAUAGGAUGGACCCGCGUCUGAUUAGCUAGUUGGUGAGGUAACGGCUCACCAAGGCGACGAUCAGUAGCCGACCCGAGAGGGUGACCGGCCACAUUGGGACUGAGACACGGCCCAAACUCCUACGGGAGGCAGCAGUGGGGAAUAUUGCACAAUGGGCGAAAGCCUGAUGCCAGCGACGCCGCGUGAACGAAGAAGUAUUUCGGUAUGUAAAGUUCUAUCAGCAGGGAAGAAAAAUGACGGUACCUGACUAAGAAGCUCCGGCUAAAUACGUGCCAGCAGCUGC
rnacentral:rRNA from 1 species